rnacentral:sRNA from 1 species
GCCAAGUAUACGUCCAACCCUAACGGGUU